rnacentral:rRNA from 1 species
ACGGGAGGCAGCAGUGGGGAAUAUUGCACAAUGGAGGAAACUCUGAUGCAGCGACGCCGCGUGAGUGAAGAAGUAUUUCGGUACGUAAAGCUCUAUCAGCAGGAAAGAUAAUGACGGUACCUGACUAAGAAGCCCCGGCUAACUACGUGCCAGCAGCCGCGGUAAUACGUAGGGGGCAAGCGUUAUCCGGAUUUACUGGGUGUAAAGGGAGCGUAGAUGGUUCUGCAAGUCUGAAGUGAAAUCCCGGGGCUUAACUCCGGAACUGCUUUGGAAACUGUAGUACUAGAGUGCAGGAGAGGUAAGUGGAAUUCCUAGUGUAGCGGUGAAAUGCGUAGAUAUUAGGAGGAACACCAGUGGCGAAGGCGGCUUACUGGACUGUAACUGACAUUGAGGCUCGAAAGCGUGGGGAGCAAACAGGAUUAGAUACCCUGGUA